GGGGCCGUAGCUCAGUUGGAAGAGCGCCUGGAUGGCAUCCAGGAGGCCAGGGGUUCGAGUCCCCUCGGCUCCACCG
rnacentral:tRNA from 2 species